rnacentral:tRNA from 1 species
GACAACGUGGCCGAGCGGUUAAGGCGAUUGACUAGAAUACGUAUUCUAAGACUGUGUGGGUCUGCCAUCAAUUAGGGUUUCCCUGCGUAGGUUCAAGUCCUGCCGUUGUCG